CAUCCUCCACCUCUUCAUACUUUACAUAAGAGAUGAGAGUAGACAAAAAAAAUUGAUUUGGACUACAUCGUGGGUAGAGGUAUUUUCAAGUACCAGUGAUAUACUGGGGGCUGGUUUGGGUUUUUUUUUUUCCUUUUGUUUACAUCUUGCAUAUCUACAGUUUGCUCUCUCACGCAUACACACACAUACAUAUAAUUCUCAGCCAACAAAUGCCACACAGUGGAAUACAGUAUUUUGUCCAAUGCCACCCAUUGAUGGAUUCCAUAUGAUUUAGUUACAAAAUAAACUUUUUCCCUUCCUUUACGUUUGUGCUUCUGCUUGUUUGUGCUGUUGUUACCAUUUCUUGCUUUUCUUUUGUGUUGCAUUUCUUCAAUCUUUAUCUGUUGGGAAAAUGUUUCCUCUUGUACAGCUCUCAGCACUUCUCCUCCUCCUCAUUUCUACCAGCUUACCUUUGCUAAACAACAACAACCAACUGUACAGUAAAAGCACUCUCAUUCCAUCAAACAUUGGUAGCGAUAAAGGCAGCUUCUAGAACUUUCUGGAAAAUUCUUGUAUUAGCAUUAGUCAUUUCCAAUACUGACAUUUCACUUUUGUUUCCUUUGUGCCUUUACCUAUUGCUAUGAGUAUACUAAUAGAAACUGCAGAUUGCUGUCAGUCUAUGAUAUGUGGCAUCAACCAGAUGUAGAGGUUAACAGAGCUGCCUGUUUAUGCUGACAGAUGGACAUUAGCUCUGAUUUUCUGUUUAAGUUAGAUCUUGGGCUGUACAGUAUAUGUCUCCACCAAAUAGAUAUUGUAUCAUUCUGUAUUCCUGAAAGGUGCUGCUACAUGAUUUUCAUGAAGGUUAGAAUGUCCCCUAUUUUGUCUCUGUACCAUAUUUUCUUGGAGAACAAUGUUUGAAGAAGCCAGAGUGUUGGUACAAAUUUUUAAAGAUAUUCUUCAUUUGGUUGAUCUACGUCUUUUUUUUUUUUUCCUGUCUGUCUGGCGUUAGAGCAGUCAAUGAGAAUCAUUUUCUUCAAGCAGGAUUUAUCUAAGAGAGAAUGACAAGUAUUGGAAUUGAUUCAGUCAACAGUUCCUCUCUCUUCAAAUAUGCGACCAUUUUUUUUUUUUUAUAAUUAUGUCUGGGGUCGCUUAUCUUAAUGGUACAAAGCACUCAGCAAUAAUUUGAGAGGUGCAGAGUUUGAUUCUUUGUAGCAGCUUGCUGGCCACUUUUCUCAAGGCAGUGCUCCAGCAUGACCACACUUUAAUGACUGAAACAAGUAAAAAUUAAAAAGAUAAUUCCAUGUAGUUUUGGAAUGUUAGGAGACUGAAAUAGUUUCUUCCUGUUUAGAAAUAUUUGGUUUAUUAGAGAAAGGAACUGGUUUACCAUACAUGUCCUGUCAUUCAUAUUGAAUGGUUAUUUAAUUUCGUCCCAUGUUGUUCCUUCUAUUUUUGUUGGGUGUUUGGCUGUUAUUUACUUCUUUGUAUCAUAUACGCCAAUGCCAGCUUGUAAUGCCCUGCUCCUAUGGUAAAUACUGCUUUGUUUGAGCAUAAUUUCCAGUUCAACGAUUCGAUGCCCUAAUUUCCUGUCUUCAUCAGUGAAUUACAAUUUGUAAUUGUCAUUCUCAAAUCAUGUUUUAUAUUUUAUUUAUUCAAUACUUCCAGCUAGAUUGCCAACAUUCUUUGCAGUAUUGCAAUUGUUUCUAAUAGUUUUUGGAGGCAAUUCCCUUUUAAUUUCUCUUCUAGUUAACCAUUUAUUGCAUCUAUCACAUGGUAUUACAUCUACUCCCUGUUUUAGUUAACGGUUUAUCUAUCAACAUCCAUUUGUGUAGCUUCAUGACAAUGAAACACGGGUGUUUGAUGU